rnacentral:tRNA from 1 species
GGGAAUGGUUGGUAGGCUGGUGCUGCCCGCGGACUUCAAAUCCGUAGUCCCGAACUGUUGAGUUGGGGAGGUGGGUUCGAUUCCCACACAUUCCCGCCA